CUCUCGAGAAGCUGAGGAUUUUACUAUAUCUUCUCCAGUUUUUUUCUUAUAUCUCCUUGCACCUAUGAAGGAAGGAAGCAUUCCUUUCCUAAGUGGAAAUAGUAUGUUGGACUUCCUAUAUUAAUUACUAAUUAUUAUUAGCUGAUAUUAAUUAUUAAUUAAAAUAUAUUAUCUAUUUAGAAAUACUCUGGACCUAUCUCAUCCUCAGACUGUGAAAAGUUCAAUGACCAAAGGUCUUCUGCUCUCUGAAAGAACAUGAAUUGUCCAAGAAAACCCAACAAGAGUCGGGAUGGUAUAAACAUUAAAGAACUAAGUCACAGCUAGAAACUAAUAGUCAUAGAGAUGCCAUAAAUGGAAAACAAGGAAGAAAUGAUGACUUAAACAUUCAAGAGUGGAGCUUAAGAGCAAUGAACUGGAAUAAGGUCAAAAUACUAAAGAGAUAUAAAUUCUGUCAAAGAAAAUUCAAAAGGAGUCUCUCAAGAGCCAGUAAGAGUUAACUCCAACAUGACCCUGAUGCUGCCCUAAAAACCAAGUCAACUCCAAACAAGCAGAGUAUCCUCAACUUUGUAAUGGACCCAAACUUCCAAGUCAAACCAGCGUUGGAAGAGUGACGGCUUGGAAACAAGUUGGA
rnacentral:lncRNA from 1 species